rnacentral:lncRNA from 12 species
UAUACCUAACAUGUAUUCUGUUCAUUUAAAGCACAUUAAAGAAGCAUAAACAAUAGUUUGAAACGCACAUCACAGACCGUGCUUAUGUUGAUAUUCAAAACUUUGCGGCAAAAUGUAGCAUUGCUUUUGUUAUUUGUCUUGGUAACUACAAAAUUAUUUCCUGUUACAUAGAAAAUGACGAUAGAACUGCCCGUUUUUCGUUUAUACAUAUAUGACACGAGGCGGGCAGAUUUGUUUUCAAACUACAAACUCGACCAAUGAUCUCUCUGACGCUAGGUGGCAGUGUGUCGGGAACAGCGAUGUAAAUGCAGCAGACUAAAAACAACGACGAAACGUUUGCUUUCUCCUGCUGUAGCGUUUCUGUACGCGUGGAUUUUGAGAUCGCAGUGUUUACUCUCGCGAAAUUUAGUCUUAUGUGAAAGCAUCUGUGAAAAUGCUGCUGAAGAAUAUCUGCUUCCGUCCAAUUACAUUUGAGCCGUAAUAGAAGUGGCUAUGUUUAUAUGCAGCUGUCACAGUCAUAUGAGAGGUUUUUUACGAUUUGACACCCGUAGAGCUGCUUUGUGAUGUUGGAUUCUCCGAGGAAAAAUCGUUUUUAGUUACGUUAUUUUAUUCACUUACGGUCCACGAUGAUUAAGUGUAAAUCCAGCAAACCUUCCAUGGUCAGUGGAGUUCAGUCAAACAUUUCUGCCUUUUUCGUCUCAAAGGUUUCACCAAAGUCACCUACAAAAAUGGCAGCUGGAAUACAAGAGUCCCUGUUUCAGUGAAGACUGGUUUUGUGCAGGAUAAAAGUGUCCCCUGCUCUCCAACCCCUCCUGCUGUCCCAGAGACACCUGACAGUCUGAGGAGCGAGAACCCUUCAGACACUUCAUACGAGAACCGCUCACCUGUCUCCCGUGGCCUGCUUACUAAAGGUG